AGGACGAACGCUGGCGGCGUGCUUAACACAUGCAAGUCGAGCGGUAAGGCCUCCUUCGGGGGGUACACGAGCGGCGAACGGGUGAGUAACACGUGAGUAAUCUGCCCUUCACUCUGGGAUAAGCACCGGAAACGGUGUCUAAUACCGGAUACGACCAACUGCUGCAUGGUGUGUUGGUGGAAAGUUUUUUCGGUGGGGGAUGUGCUCGCGGCCUAUCAGCUUGAUGGUGGGGUAAUGGCCUACCAUGGCGUCGACGGGUAGCCGGCCUGAGAGGGUGACCGGUCACACUGGGACUGAGACACGGCCCAGACUCCUACGGGAGGCAGCAGUGGGGAAUACUGGACAAUGGGCGGAAGCCUGAUUCAGCAACGCCGCGUGAGGGAUGACGGCCUUCGGGUUGUAAACCUCUUUCAUCACCGACGAAGCCGUGAGGUGACGGUAGGUGGAGAAGAAGCACCGGCCAACUACGUGCCAGCAGCCGC
rnacentral:rRNA from 1 species